GAGCAGCCUAGGCUGUGGCCACUGAGUCGGGAAGAACAUAGGUUGGCUUCUGUGGUGACUAUGUGGGAGUCCUGACCUCGCUUGCAGACUUGACCUCUGGAUAUAACAAGGUAGCUUCACUCCAGAUCUACCACUAACCCUGGAAACUCAAACUCCUGCUCCUCCAAAAGAAUCCCAAAGCAAGAAAGAUGCAGAAUAUUUCCUGAGGCACCAGAAGAACCCAGUAUGGUCUGGUGGGCACAGGAAACUGGGUGAAUGCUUGCAGCUAAUUGGGAGAAUGUGAGGAUCUAGAAGCAAAUUAUAAAGAAGAGGGAGGCACGACGGAGAGAGCAGCAAGCGUGCUAACAUUUCUGAAUACACUUAAGACUCUGCUGACUGCAUCUCUUGGAAAAGAAGCAGCAGGGCAAAGCAUGGCAGUGCUUAAAAGAACCACAAGCAGAAGUGGCAUUGAUGGGAUCAGAGAAACUUUCCUCACAAGUGUCUAAGUGAAAAGAAACUGAAGGAGACAAAACCAGAGACCAAUAUCCACCCAAUUUUCGCAGUAACUACAAGAGAACUGCAAAUGGUUUGCGUUGCUUACUAAGCAUACAUCUCAGCAAUGGUGAAGGCCGGCAGGCAGGUGCCUGGGUAACCUGGGACGCCUGUUCAUCCAAAUAAAGCUGGCUUUCACUUCUUAACCAA
rnacentral:lncRNA from 1 species